CCAGUUCGGACUGGAGUCUGCAACCCGACUCCACGAAGUUGGAUUCGCUAGUAAUCGCGCAUCAGCCAUGGCGCGGUGAAUACGUUCCCGGGCCUUGUACACACCGCCCGUCAAGCCAUGGGAGCCGGGGGCGCCUGAAGUCCGGGACCGCGAGGACCGGCCUAGGGCGAAACUGGUAACUGGGGCUAAGUCGUAACAAGGUACC
rnacentral:rRNA from 1 species